rnacentral:rRNA from 1 species
AUUGAACGCUGGCGGCAGGCCUAACACAUGCAAGUCGAGCGGAUGAAGGGAGCUUGCUCCUGGAUUCAGCGGCGGACGGGUGAGUAAUGCCUAGGAAUCUGCCUGGUAGUGGGGGAUAACGUCCGGAAACGGGCGCUAAUACCGCAUACGUCCUGAGGGAGAAAGUGGGGGAUCUUCGGACCUCACGCUAUCAGAUGAGCCUAGGUCGGAUUAGCUAGUUGGUGGGGUAAAGGCCUACCAAGGCGACGAUCCGUAACUGGUCUGAGAGGAUGAUCAGUCACACUGGAACUGAGACACGGUCCAGACUCCUACGGGAGGCAGCAGUGGGGAAUAUUGGACAAUGGGCGCAAGCCUGAUCCAGCCAUGCCGCGUGUGUGAAGAAGGUCUUCGGAUUGUAAAGCACUUUAAGUUGGGAGGAAGGGCAGUAAGUUAAUACCUUGCUGUUUUGACGUUACCAAAAGAAUAAGCACCGGCUAACUUCGUG